rnacentral:rRNA from 1 species
CGGGUGAGUAACGCGUGGGUAACCUGCCUUGUACAGGGGGAUAACAGUUGGAAACGGCUGCUAAUACCGCAUAAGCGCACGGCAUCGCAUGAUGCAGUGUGAAAAACUCCGGUGGUAUAAGAUGGACCCGCGUUGGAUUAGCUAGUUGGCGAGGUAACGGCCCACCAAGGCGACGAUCCAUAGCCGACCUGAGAGGGUGACCGGCCACAUUGGGACUGAGACACGGCCCAA